rnacentral:rRNA from 1 species
ACGGGAGGCAGCAGUGAGGAAUAUUGGUCAAUGGGCGGAAGCCUGAACCAGCCAAGUCGCGUGAGGGAAGACGGCCCUACGGGUUGUAAACCUCUUUUGCGCGGGGGUAAAGUCGGGGACGUGUCCCCGAUUGCAAGUACCGCGCGAAUAAGGAUCGGCUAACUCCGUGCCAGCAGCCGCGGUAAUACGGAGGAUCCGAGUGUUAUCCGGAUUUAUUGGGUUUAAAGGGAGCGCAGGCGGAGAAGCAAGCCAGCCGUAAAAUCGUUGAGCUCAACUCAAUCUCGCGGUUGGAACUGCUUCCCUUGAGUGCACGAGAGGAUGGUGGAAUUCGUGGUGUAGCGGUGAAAUGCAUAGAUAUCACGAAGAACUCCGAUUGCGAAGGCAGCCAUCUGGCGUGUUACUGACGCUCAUGCUCGAAGGCGCGGGUAUCAAACAGGAUUAGAUACCCUGGUA